rnacentral:tRNA from 1 species
GAUCUUUUAGUAUAAUUUAGUACGGACGACUUCCAAUCGUUAGGUUGAAAGAUUA